rnacentral:rRNA from 1 species
UACGUAGGGGGCUAGCGUUGUCCGGAAUCAUUGGGCGUAAAGAGCGCGUAGGCGGCCCGGUAAGUCCGCUGUAAAAGUCCAGGGCUCAACCCUGGAAAGCCGGUGGAUACUGUCGGGCUCGAGUCCGGAAGAGGCGAGUGGAAUUCCCGGUGUAGAGGUGAAAUUCGUAGAUAUCGGGAGGAACACCAGAGGCGAAGGCGGCCACCUGGACGGACAUUGACGCUGAGAAGCGAAAGCGUGGGGAGCAAACAGG